AGCGCAUCUAGGCUGAUCUCCGAAAGCAAGAAACCUUAUCUUGUUGGUGCGCUCCUACCAAUAAGG
rnacentral:ncRNA from 12 species